UACGAAGGGUGCAAACGUUGCUCGGAAUUAUUGGGCGUAAAGCGCACGUAGGCGGCUUUGCAAGUCGGAUGUGAAAUCCCUCGGCUCAACCAAGGAAGUGCAUCCGAAACUGCAGAGCUUGAGUACCAAAGAGGAUCGCGGAAUUCCCGGUGUAGAGGUGAAAUUCGUAGAUAUCGGGAGGAACACCAGUGGCGAAGGCGGCGAUCUGGGUGGAUACUGACGCUGAGGUGCGAAAGCUAGGGGAGCAAACAGG
rnacentral:rRNA from 1 species